rnacentral:piRNA from 1 species
UCUUUAAGCCUGGUAUCUUUA